rnacentral:sRNA from 1 species
GAGCUUUCGCUCUUAGUGCUAAGCUUUCCUGAGAGACGAAUAGCUUUUCUUUGCUCUCUCCCUGUCAAAUUGGGCGCCAAAAAAUCAUAUGCAGACAAUUGUGUACUGAGGGUUGCAACAUAUGAUAUUCAUAUGUGUACUUGCACACAUGUGUACAUACGUACUAUAUGCAGAAAGCCGUAUGCACUCAUAGUGACUGAGAACCGUCGGCACCAAAUUGGAUUAGUGGCUGAGAGAGAGAGAGACAGUGGCGUGACCCAGAGAACGCAUGGCAACGUAAAAUUUUGAUCCCGGAGCCCGGAUUCCCGUGUCCGUUACCGACAAGAGAACACACGUAACUGCAAUUAACCGUAAAUUGCGAAGAGGAACAGCAGAAAACAAAGCGACUGAGCGACAGUAGCAUACAAAAAACAGAAGACUAACACAAGUCCGGAUCGCCCUGCCGAUUAGCAACUGCGGUCCCCAUCCAUGUACAUUGCACUAGCCGAAUGCAGAAAACAACUUAAUUACACAUGCUAGCAAUACUAAUGUGCCUAGACAGAUAGUCAUCAAUUACGAGGUGGUGUGUGUAUAAAAAUCCUAUCUUUUUAAAUUGGCAAUCAAAACGGAGAGCGCUACUAUUGCCUUGAUAAGAUUGCGCUUUGUCCAGACGAUUUCAUGGCUUACAGAUUAACCAUAACCUGCCGGUAAAUUAUUUAUUCUUAAAACCAAAGUAUUGAUUUUCAUAUCAUUCAACAUUAAAUAAAAUGUCAAUGGUCUAAGGUAAAUUUAUAUUUACCUAAUAUUAGCCUAAAGCAGGCCGUUCCAAAAGAAAACUUUCGCCGAUCUCGCCCAGUAAUGUAAAAUAUAAAAUGUACUGCAUUUAUUUACAGCUACAUACAUAAGAAUCUGGUUCAAGGUUAUUUCGGUUUUUAUAUUAAAGAACAUACUUUUUUUGUAUCAUUUUAGUAUUGGGGCAUUAUCAUACAUUGUUUUGAAUUAAUUUGUUCAGAUUUUCGAUUUUUUUUGAUAUAUUGUUUUGUCUUUAAUUUAUGAAAUGUAACCUUAAUAAUUCCCCACAAUUUUUAAACAAGAUAAGAAAAAAACAUGACGCUGCUGUCUUGCUGAGUCGAUAAUGUGGCGUCACAUCCGCUGCAGCAGGAACAGGUGAUCGACGGCGGAAUUGUUGGUUCACGCCCACGGGAAAUAAUUCCAGCAACCCCACCAUUCAUACGCCGCCGAAUCAAACGCUGGUCUUCAGCUUCGAGAAGCAGGACUUCUGUAACCUACGCUUUGCCAGAAGCUGAGUCGUAUCCGGUUUCCCCCCGCCACACGGAGUCCUAUCCAAGCAUUACCGAGGCGUAUUCGAGACAUACCGAGGACUAUCCCAGCUAGACAGAAUCGUAUCACCUAACGAGCCAUCGUUAUCCUUCGACAUGGCCAGCGACGACAAGGACUUUGACUAUGGCUACUAGAUUCUAGAUAAUUAUCGUUGCUGUUAGGUUUAAGGAUUUACGCGAUUAUAUAUUAAGACAGUAGAUACAAAUGUUUUCCACAUGUUUAUUUAUUAUUACUAGGCUAAGU